AAGAAAAGAAAAGAAAUAGUUAAUCGCUUUUAGCCUCCUAAAGGAAAAGGUAGAUAGAACAGGUCUUGUUUGUAAAAUAAAUUCAAGAUCUACUUAUCUACCAACAGCA